AGAUCAGCCCUGGGGUUCAGAGGGAUCCUGACAGCUACUCCUCAAGAUCCUCUCUGUUGUGAUUCAUCCCCCCGGGGCCCUACAGUUUCUCCUUCCUGACUCUUACAUUUCUUUGGAUGGCAUCAUUAUUUUAGGUGCCAAGCACUGUGGAUUCUGCCUCUCAGUGUCCAGACACCCAUUUUCCUUCCCACUGUUCCUUCCCCAUGGAGAAGCCUGUGGCUGGCUGACAGCAGAGAGAGAUGCUCAACUUGGAGAAGGUGUUACCUGGGCCAGGUGGGGAAGGUUUGUUUGCAGAGCAAAGAAGUGAAGCCUAUUCAACGUGAAAAAGAUGAGGAUGAAGACCUUUAUUAUGAUCCACUUCCAAGUAAUGAACACACUGGAGAAAGUCAGACAGUCAAAACAAUGUCCCAGACUCCGUGAAGUUCCUGGGUAGAGAAGGAGACAGACAUAUACCAUACCUAAUAAUUGGAUGUCCGAGAGAAUGAGAGAAUGGCAGAAAGAACUUUAGAGCAUGGGUAUGAUGGCUAGAGCUUGAGCAGCCAUUGUGGACAUCAGAUGAACUUGAAAGUGAAAACUAUGAGCUGAAUACGACAAAGCAAACAGAUAGAAAACUGGAUUCAUUAUGACAUUGCAAAGCUGCCAGACCAGCUCUAGUCUGCUUCCCCCUAAUCUUCCUUACUAAGAGAGAGAAAUAAACUUCCAUCUUCUUCAA
rnacentral:lncRNA from 1 species